GUUAGGCGGCCGAGUUUCGUCGCCAUUAACCCUUGCCGCAGAAGUCGCGGAUGGGGCCCGGCUCCUGUAGGAGUCCGGGUGAAGUCUUCCUUGUAGGCGGAACCCGGCUCCCGUAGGAGUCUGGGUGAAGUCUUCCCUGGCGUUGGAACCCGGCUCCCGUAGGAGUCCGGGUGAAGUCUACCUUGGCGUUGGAACCCGGCUCCCGUAGGAGUCCGGGUGAGGUCUUCCCUGGCGUUGGAACCCGGCUCCCGUAGGAGUCCGGG
rnacentral:lncRNA from 1 species